GAUGAACGCUGGCGGCGUGCUUAAUACAUGCAAGUCGAGCGGACGGACGAGAAGCUUGCCUCUCUGAUGUUAGCGGCGGACGGGUGAGUAACACGUGGAUAACCUACCUAUAAGACUGGGAUAACUUCGGGAAACCGGAGCUAAUACCGGAUGAUAUUUUGAACCGCAUGGUUGAAAAGUGAAAGACGGUCUUGCUGUCACUUAUAGAUGGAUCCGCGCUGCAUUAGCUAGUUGGUAAGGUAACGGCUUACCAAGGCAACGAUGCAUAGCCGACCUGAGAGGGUGAUCGGCCACACUGGAACUGAGACACGGUCCAGACUCCUACGGGAGGCAGCAGUAGGGAAUCUUCCGCAAUGGGCGAAAGCCUGACGGAGCAACGCCGCGUGAGUGAUGAAGGUCUUCGGAUCGUAAAACUCUGUUAUUAGUUAAGAACAUAUGUGUAAGUAGCUGUGCACAUCUUGACGGUACCUAAUCAGAAAGCCACGGCUAACUACGUG
rnacentral:rRNA from 1 species